rnacentral:rRNA from 1 species
GAUGAACGCUGGCGGCGUGCCUAAUACAUACAAGUCGAGCGGUAAGGCCUCUUCGGAGGUACACGAGCGGCGGACGGCUGAGUAACGCGUAGGAACGUACCCCAAAGUGAGGGAUAAGCACCAGAAAUGGUGUCUAAUACCGCAUGUGGCCCACGGGCUAAAGCUUCGGCGCUUCGGGAACGGCCUGCGUAAGAUUAGCUAGUUGGUGAGGUAAUGGCUCACCAAGGCGACGAUCUUUAGCUGGUCUGAGAGGAUGAUCAGCCAGACUGGGACUGAGACACGGCCCAGACUCCUACGGGAGGCAGCAGUAGGGAAUUUUCCACAAUGGGCGAAAGCCUGAUGGAGCAACGCCGCGUGCAGGAUGAAUGCCUUCGGGUUGUAAACUGCUUUUAUAUGCGACGAAUAUGACGGUAGCAUAUGAAUAAGGAUCGGCUAACUCCGUGCCAGCAGCCGCCGUAA